AACCCAAGUCUCUUUUGUCUUCUGCACUAGCAGGUGGGUUCUUUACCACUAGUGCCACCUGGGAAGCCCAGGAACAUCAGUCUUAGGAGGAAGCAUUUUCUACAUGGUUCUGAAAUGGAUUCAUUCACCAGUUAAUCAAGCUGGCCUCAGUAGGAGAUACAGAAGGUGAAGAAUGAAUAAGAAUACAGUAGUUCCCUCUCAUCCACACCGGUUGUCAGACUGCAGACAGGACCAAACCCUACAUACACUCUAUUUUUUCCUAUACAGAGAAACAGUAACAGUAAUAAUUAUGGAACAAUCAUCACACGCUGUAAUAAAAGGGUUACUUGGACACAA